CUGACUUAUCUUCGUGAGCGACGGCAUUGAGCGCUACGACUGCCUCAAUCGCUUGGCGUGUUUGGACGACCAGAAAGCCCAGCGAAUACUAACCUCUUCCAAAAUGAUGAUUAAUGGGGCCAAGUACUUACAGCCGAUAUUCGGAUACUCACUGGAAAAAUACGAACAGAUUUCUGACGGUGUUUACGACGCCAUAUUGUACCGUCGAGAGGGCGGUUCCUGCAACACCCGAUACACCUGCCCCGCCAUGCCCAGCUUGUAGAACGAAACUCGCUCUUGCCCAAUGACGCUAGUUCCUCCUCAUUCGAACUCGAACUGUCUGUUAUCACGUCGAGGCUCCAGGUCGCGCAGGUAGCGACUUAUUUAAUGUCCUCACGUAGUUGAGAUGCACUGUAGGUUUUAAGUUUUUAAUUUUUUUUUUUUUCACAGUGGUUGAUCACGUGGCGAUAUAUCCACGUGAGAUGCCGUCGUCAUGCACAUUUGUGGCCAGUCUUUUUCGCAGUUUUGUCUUUGUGAGUGUCCGAACUGCCAUUUAUCAAUUCCCCCCUUUUUUCCUUAAUUAAUUUCACUCCUGCAGCAAUCUCCCAUAUAAUAUAAUAAAUACCUUCUCAGUGAAAUAUUCCAUUACAUUUAUAUAGCCAUUUGCUCAGAUGUACAAAGACUAUUCUUCUCCCGGUUCAAAAGACCUCCCCUUGUUUUUUUUAGUCUUGAUUCUAUUUAUGUGUUUAUCGUUAAUGUAAUCUUGAACUAAUGCACCACGGACGCUGGCUCGUCCGUGGUGCAUUGGCCAGGAGUCCGAAGCAUUAUAUAAUACCUCUUCUCAUGCCAGUAAUUCAUGUGUCCUAGAAGGAUCGAAUCUCCUCUGUUGUUGAUUUUUAUCGUUUUGUUAUUCUAUAGAAGUGUAAAUAUUUGUUAUAUCUAUUUAUUAACUUGAACCAAUAAAACACACUAUCCUA
rnacentral:lncRNA from 1 species